rnacentral:rRNA from 1 species
AUUGAACGCUGGCGGCAGGCCUAACACAUGCAAGUCGAGCGGAUGAAAGGGGCUUGCUCCUGGAUUCAGCGGCGGACGGGUGAGUAAUGCGCAGGAAUCUACCUAGUAGUGGGGGAUAACGUUUCGAAAGGAACGCUAAUACCGCAUACGUUCUGAGGAAGAAAGCAGGGGAUCGUAAGACCUUGCGCUAUUAGAUGAGCUUGCGUCCGAUUAGCUAGUUGGUGGGGUAAAGGCCUACCAAGGCGACGAUCGGUAACUGGUCUGAGAGGAUGAUCAGUCACACUGGAACUGAGACACGGUCCAGACUCCUACGGGAGGCAGCAGUGGGGAAUAUUGGACAAUGGGGGCAACCCUGAUCCAGCCAUGCCGCGUGUGUGAAGAAGGCC